AUGUCAUCUGUUGAGUCUCUAGGUCUGUUUCUGUGGAUAGUAGGUUCCCCUCAAUCUGUUAGACAAACAGAAAACAUAUUUGUUAGGUCAUUGGAGACAAUUGUAAGGAAGUUUGAUAAGGUUUUGGCCUGUCUGAUCAAGCUAGCAAAAGACAACAUCAAGCCAACAGAUCAUCAAUUCAGAACUGUGCAUUCAAAAUUAAGAUCUAGAAAGUAUGCACCAUUUAUGGACAAUUGCAUUGGUGCAAUAGAUGGGACACACAUACAAGUUGUGGUACCACUUGCCACUGCUGCCCAGCAUAGGAAUAGACAUAAGGAGAAGAGUCAGAAUGUGAUGUGUGUGUGUGACUUCGAUAUGAGAUUCACAUUUGUCCUAGCUGGUUGGCUAGGAUCAGUGCAUGGCAUGAGGGUCUUCAAUGAUGCCCGAUCCAGAUUUGGUGACAAGUUUCCAAAACCACCACCUAAUAAGUUCUAUCUUGUGGACUCAGGGUACCCAAGUAGACCAGGCUAUCUUGCACCAUACAAGGGUUUAACCUAUCAUUUCCAGGAGUACCGUGAUGGCACAAUGCCAAGAGGAAAAAGGAACACUUCAAUUUCACCCAUUCUUCACUUAGAAAUGUGA
rnacentral:rRNA from 1 species